CCCUUAGAUGUUCUGGGCCGCACGCGCGCUACACUGAUGCAUUCAGCGAGUCCAACCUUGACCGAGAGGUCCGGGUAAUCUUUGAAACUGCAUCGUGAUGGGGCUAGAUUAUUGCAAUUAUUAAUCUUCAACGAGGAAUGCCUAGUAAGCGUGAUUCAUCAAAUCGCGUUGAUUACGUCCCUGCCCUUUGUACACACCGCCCGUCGCUCCUACCGAUUGAGUGUGUUGGUGAGGAGUUUGGAUUGGCCUCGGAAGGUGGUUCGCCACCGUCCGUAGCUGAGAAGUUCUCCAAACCGCCCCACUUAGAGGAAGGAGAAGUCGUAACA
rnacentral:rRNA from 1 species